rnacentral:rRNA from 1 species
UACGUAGGGGGCAAGCGUUGUCCGGAAUCAUUGGGCGUAAAGAGCGUGUAGGCGGCUUGGUAAGUCCGCUGUGAAAGUCCAGGGCUCAACCCUGGAAUGCCGGUGGAAACUGUCAAGCUUGAGUCCGGAAGAGGCGAGUGGAAUUCCUGGUGUAGCGGUGAAAUGCGCAGAUAUCAGGAGGAACACCCGUGGCGAAGGCGGCACUCUGGGACGGUACUGACGCUGAGACGCGAAAGCGUGGGGAGCGAACAGG